UACGUAGGGUCCGAGCGUUAAUCGGAAUUACUGGGCGUAAAGCGUGCGCAGGCGGUUUUGUAAGCCAGAUGUGAAAUCCCCGGGCUUAACCUGGGAAUGGCAUUUGGGACUGCAAAGCUGGAGUACGGCAGAGGGAGGUGGAAUUCCACGUGUAGCAGUGAAAUGCGUAGAUAUCAGGAGGAACACCGGUGGUGUAGACGGCUUACUGGACCACGACUGACACUGAGGCACGAAAGCGUGGGCAGCAAACAGG
rnacentral:rRNA from 1 species